GUAAUACUGUAUAAUCCCUGCGGGGGAAAGAUUUAUCGCUACUAGAUGAGCCUAUGUCAGAUUAGCUAGUUGGUGGGGUAAUGGCCCACCAAGGCUGUGAUCUGUAGCUGGUCUGAGAGGAUGAUCAGCCACACUGGAACUGAGACACGGUCCAGACUCCUACGGGAGGCAGCAGUGGGGAAUAUUGGACAAUGGGCGCAAGCCUGAUCCAGCUAUGCCGCGUGAGUGAGGAAGGCCUUAGGGUUGUAAAACUCUUUCAGUAGGGAAGAUAAUGACGGUAC
rnacentral:rRNA from 1 species